GUAGGGCGGGACACGUGGUAUCCUGUCUGAAUAUGGGGGGACCAUCCUCCAAGGCUAAAUACUCCUGACUGACCGAUAGUGAACCAGUACCGUGAGGGAAAGGCGAAAAGAACCCCGGCGAGGGGAGUGAAAAAGAACCUGAAACCGUGUACGUACAAGCAGUGGGAGCACAGAGCAAUCUGUGUGACUGCGUACCUUUUGUAUAAUGGGUCAGCGACUUAUAUUCUGUAGCAAGGUUAACCGAAUAGGGGAGCCGAAGGGAAACCGAGUCUUAACUGGGCGUUAAGUUGCAGGGUAUAGACCCGAAACCCGGUGAUCUAGCCAUGGGCAGGUUGAAGGUUGGGUAACACUAACUGGAGGACCGAACCGACUAAUGUUGAAAAAUUAGCGGAUGACUUGUGGCUGGGGGUGAAAGGCCAAUCAAACCGGGAGAUAGCUGGUUCUCCCCGAAAGCUAUUUAGGUAGCGCCUCGUGAAUUCAUCUCCGGGGGUAGAGCACUGUUUCGGCAAGGGGGUCAUCCCGACUUACCAACCCGAUGCAAACUGCGAAUACCGGAGAAUGUUAUCACGGGAGACACACGGCGGGUGCUAACGUCCGUCGUGAAGAGGGAAACAACCCAGACCGCCAGCUAAGGUCCCAAAGUCAUGGUUAAGUGGGAAACGAUGUGGGAAGGCCCAGACAGCCAGGAUGUUGGCUUAGAAGCAGCCAUCAUUUAAAGAAAGCGUAAUAGCUCACUGGUCGAGUCGGCCUGCGCGGAAGAUGUAACGGGGCUAAACCAUGCACCGAAGCUGCGGCAGCGACGCUUAUGCGUUGUUGGGUAGGGGAGCGUUCUGUAAGCCUGCGAAGGUGUGCUGUGAGGCAUGCUGGAGGUAUCAGAAGUGCGAAUGCUGACAUAAGUAA
rnacentral:rRNA from 1 species